AUGGCCACCAUUCAGCAGCUGGUAGGAAGAUGGCGCUUAGUGGAAAGCAAAGGCUUUGACGAAUACAUGAAAGAAGUAGGAGUGGGAAUGGCUCUGCGAAAAGUGGGUCCAAUGGCCAAACCAGAUUGUAUCAACUCUUCUAACGGCAAAAACCUCACCAUAAAAACUGAGAGCACUUUGAAAACAACACAGUUUUCAUGUAACCGGGGAGAGAAGUUUGAAGAAACUACAGCUGACGGCAGAAAAACUCAGACCGUCUGCAACUUCACAGACGGUGCGUUGGUUCAACAUCAGGAAUGGGAUGGGAAGGAAAGCACAAUCACAAGAAAAUUGGAAAAUGGGAAAUUAGUGGUGGAAUGCAUCAUGAAUAAUGUCACCUGUACUCGGGUCUAUGGAAAAGUAGAGUAAAAAUUCCAUC